rnacentral:tRNA from 1 species
GGUCUCAUGGUGUAAUGGUUAGCACUCUGGACUUUGAAUCCAGCGAUGCGAGUUCAAAUCUCGGUGAGACCU